AGCGAACGCUGGCGGCAGGCUUAACACAUGCAAGUCGUGCGGUAACAGAGAGAAGCUUGCUUCUCUGCUGACGAGCGGCGGACGGGUGAGUAAUGCCUAGGAAUCUGCCUAGUAGUGGGGGAUAACUUGCCGAAAGGUAAGCUAAUACCGCAUACGUCCUACGGGAGAAAGGAGGGGACCUUCGGGCCUUUCGCUAUUAGAUGAGCCUAGGUCGGAUUAGUUAGUUGGUGAGGUAAUGGCUCACCAAGACCGCGAUCCGUAACUGGUCUGAGAGGGUGAUCAGUCACACUGGAACUGAGACACGGUCCAGACUCCUACGGGAGGCAGCAGUGGGGAAUAUUGGACAAUGGGGGGAACCCUGAUCCAGCCAUGCCGCGUGUGUGAAGAAGGUCUUAGGAUUGUAAAGCACUUUAAGUUGGGAGGAAGAGCAGUUAACUAAUAUCUGACUGUUUUGACGUUACCGACAGAAUAAGCACCGGCUAACUUCGUGCCAGCAGCCGCAGUAACAC
rnacentral:rRNA from 1 species